UCACUUCAUGUCUAGUUAAUAUGACUUUUAAUUUGUUUCCCUCAUCCAUUCUUCAAACUGCUUAAGCUGUAGGCUUAAUAUUUCAUCUUGUAAGUACAACAGGAGAUGCAGAAGAGAUGAGCUCUCUUGGGCUGGUAUCUUGCCUAUCCACGCAAUUUUUAGUGCUUUUUAAACAAGCUUUUAAGGAGCAGAUUUCAGGCACAGGUCUCUCCUGCCUGGAAACAAAACAUGCUGCUGAUCUCUUUCAGUCACAUGUGUGAGCAAAACGUUGAAGAGGUUGACAGGUUGCCUGGAGCUGAUAGCUCAGUGUUACUGGGAGGUAGUAAUGAUCAUCUAACAGUAUCUGCUGGGUUGGUUUGGCAGGCCUUCAAGGUAUGCUUGGUAGGGCUGUUUGUCAGUCCUUGGUGGCAUUGUUGGUGUACUCCUUCUGUAUCUAUUCCUUUGCUACUUAGCUCACAGUACAAAACUCUCAGCAUGCAGGAGUCAGCAUCCUCAUUAAACUACCAGGUAGUACUCUCUACUGCUCCGAGUUAUCAUCCACUUCUGUUGAAUAAUUAAUCUGUGAGGAAAAGGUUAGUAAGAGCAACUGAGCUCUUACCAAACUGAGACCAACUCCCUGAAUGUACUCUGAAACAAAGAAAAUACACAAGCAGACACAAAGUCAACAUUAAAAGAGGCAGCCAAAGGAUUUUCCAGUUUUUGAGAGCCCACAAAAAUGGAAUAUCGGCUCAAGCAUCAGUCACAGCAAUAAUGCCAUUUAACUUGGAAGACUUUUAACAUCAUCCUCUCCAAGAACUCCACACGAUUCUCUGCACCUUCUGGCUCAUUCUACAGAGCUGAAACCUCUGGACUGUAGCAACGAGGAACAGGAGGAAGAAGCAGAGAGUGCACUGCAUUGAACAGAUAAACAGCCUGCCUAGCAGGAAGAAGAGAAGGAGUCCAGUGACAGGCAGCCUCCUAGGACCUGCAAGUGCUCCCCAGCAGCUGCAAGCCUAUCACAGGCUGUCUACAAGAGACACAAAUACAGGUCACUGGUGCUUGGUGGAUGAAAAAGAGAAACAAAUAACACUUAGGGGACUGAAUUUUUUUCCACAUGCCAUAAAUAUAGGGCUAAGGAAGAUGACAUGUCUAUCUGCUGUAGACUGUCAAAGCCCAGGAAGAAACAGAAAACAAAAAGGCGAAUGAAAUAAGGAGUACCAAAAGGAAGAAAACAAGUGGUGGCAGAAACACAGUGACCACAAUGAAUCACCACAUUUCCAACUGUGAUAGAGACUAUUUGCAGUCCACACACAAAGCUCCUCACAAGCAGUGGCCUCUACUCAUGGAAAAUAGCAAACCAGACCAUUUCACCCACCUGACUCAUGCUUCAUUGCUUCAGCAGCAGCUUCCCACUGCUGCUUCCCCACUGGGGCUCAUGCAGUCCUCUGUGCCAGUGACUGCCUGAGCUAAACCACUUGAACUCACAGCUGCAAGCUCUGGGUCCCUCAAUCAUUACCCAGCCACAUCCUUAUGAAGGUCUGCAAAAUCCUCAGCAGCAGCUCCUGUCACUCCCCUGUACAGGCAGCAGUAACAACUGAGAACAAAAUUGGCCAAAGGGAUUCAAAGCCAUGUUCUCAUCCUACUUCCAACGCUGCUGUAAACCUUGUCAGUACAGUAUUCCUGGACUGGCUGUUUCAGGUGUGAUCUGGAAUAUAGCAUUCUGCCUUCCUUCCCCUGGGCUACUUUGAGGGCAUCUACUGCCACCGGUUAGUCCCCUGGUGGGGAGGUCACUAUGGAGCCAGGGUCUAAAGUGUCCUGUUGUUUCAGAGACUGGCUUUUUGGUGGCUGUAAGAGGAGGGAUUCAAGAAGCUAAGUCUUUCUCUGCAUAUUUUUGACAUCUUACUAAACUGCCAGCUUGACAGAGGAGAAAAGGAAUUUAUAUAACAUUAUGCUAACAUAAUGCGUUUCUUAGUGUUGCUGGUAAGCCCUCCAUACUAAGUGAGCCUUUUAAAAUCAGUGUCAUGAAGAAUUUGCACAUUUUCUUUGUCAAUAAAACAGCAUUGUUCAACUUUUCACUAGUUUACUGAGAAAUAGUAUACUGAGAAAGUUUAUUUGCUUUUGAAUAAUUCUCAGUAGUUCCAGAAAUGACAGGGCAGCAGUUACUUUGAGGAAAUACCCUCUUUGCUUUUUACUAGCCCUGUUUAAAAACUACAUGAUGGAUCCUUGUCAUCACCAGGAGAAAAAAGCUGGAACUUUAGUAACCAGUAAACUUAAGUGUAGGUUAACUUUUGCAGUAAUCUAUGGCAGACUGGAUGGCCAAGACAUGUGAGUGAUUUCUUUUGUGCCCAUUUUUUGCUGUCAGGCUGCUGGGCGUGGGCCAUAGUUUGCACAGGGGAACACUUCAGCAGUUCCUGGCAAUUUUACUGAUACUUUAGAACUUCCCACAUGUAUGAUCACUGCAUGUACUGCAUGUACAUUAAAAAUCUCCAUAGGAAUUACACCUUACAUAGGUGUAAUCCCACCAAUUCCGGUGUAACACUACUGGAAUUUUCCAGAGACUAGGAAUUACAGUGGGUUGUAACAAGCUGAGGUAUUUUAUUUUUAGUCAGUCUUGUUCCGACAAGAUCACUGUACUGGGGUAUACUAAACAUUUUGCCCUGGAAAAAAAGGGACAGCACAGGAACACAAAUCAGAAUAUAUCUGGGCUUGCUGCUUUCUCCAUCCCCCUCCUCUCUAAAUAAAAAUAAAAUGUUAUUAAUUAAAAAUUUGUCCUACUUCAGCAUGGUCACUGCUAAAGCAGUCACAUGCACCCCUGGCUGCCCCUACCCUUUUCCCACAACAGGGGCAGUUUCUUUUCAACAAGGUGCUCAGGACAAAGGAAGAAAGCCUAUGACCAAAGCACUUUUGGAUAGCAGUGAUUGUGUCUCAUUUUAAACAGGAUAAUUUUGAGACUUACAAAAUGUUGGCUUAUAUAAAGAUAUUUCAGAUACCAAAAGUCAUUCAUAGAUUAGGGAAAAUCAACUAAUGCCAUUUUGGAGCUAGACCUGAGCACAGAAAAAUAUUGCAGUAAUCAGUCUUCACUGAGAUGCUCCUAAGCUGUUUUGGUUUUCUUUAAUUUAUGUAUUGCUAUAAUAAGCAAAGAAGAAAAAUCUCAACACCUUAAACACUCAUCUGAGCUUUCACAUGGGGAAAACAGAGGCUUUCUCUUCUGUUUUAAAUUCAGGCUAAUCAAAGACAUAAAGAAAUCUGUAUACACUGUGGCAUCUCCAAAUGAAGAUUUGCUAUUGUUUUUUAACAUUGGUAUUUUCCUAUGUGCCCAAAUCACUUAGUUGAACGAAUUAGCUCAGUGCAUUAGGCAUGGUGCUAAUAACACCAAGGUUGUGGGAUUGGUCGCUGUACAGGCCAUUCACUUAAGAGUUGGACUUUUUGGUCCUUGUGUGUCUGUUUCAACUCAGAACAUUCUGUGGUUGAGAAACUGAUGAACAUCAGUUUUGGCCAUGUGAACCAUCUUUCUGACAAGCAGCAGAAUAGAAUUGUUACUUCUCAAGUCUCCAAGUUCAUUUUUAAAACUGGCAGCAAAGUAUGUAAAUGGAAUGUGCCAAGAAAGAACACACUUUAACCCAAAAUCAUGUUUUGGAUUUUUUUCUUCCGGUAAACCUAUUUUUGACAUAUGUUGCUCCAUGUCUGGAAGUAAAUGGUGUCACUUCCUCUGAGAAUGUUUUCUUUGUGAUUUAAGUAUGACAUGCUGAGUAGCAGUCAGCUCUAAAAUAACUACAGUUCGGGUAUUUGUCUGAGGUUGCUGGCAUCAUUAAGAGCGUGUUGUUUUAAGGGUGUCUGAAGUUUGUGUGGUAGUAAUUGGCUUGCUAGAGAAAUCAGUGUAAGGGCACGGAGAUCCAAUUAGGUGUACAGUUUUCAGUGUCAUUUCUUGACCUUCUGGGUCUUAAAACUCAACU